rnacentral:rRNA from 2 species
GGGUUGUGAGGUUAAGCGACUAAGCGUACACGGUGGAUGCCCUGGCAGUCAGAGGCGAUGAAGGGCGUGCUAAUCUGCGAUAAGCGCCGGUAAGGUGAUAUGAACCGUUAUAACCGGCGAUACCCGAAUGGGGAAACCCAGUGUGAUUCGUCACACUAUCAUUAACUGAAUCCAUAGGUUAAUGAGGCGAACCGGGGGAACUGAAACAUCUAAGUACCCCGAGGAAAAGAAAUCAACCGAGAUUCCCCCAGUAGCGGCGAGCGAACGGGGAGGAGCCCAGAGCCUGAAUCAGCAUGUGUGUUAGUGGAAGCGUCUGGAAAGGCGCGCGAUACAGGGUGACAGCCCCGUACACAAAAGCGCAUGUGCUGUGAGCUCGAUGAGUAGGGCGGGACACGUGGUAUCCUGUCUGAAUAUGGGGGGACCAUCCUCCAAGGCUAAAUACUCCUGACUGACCGAUAGUGAACCAGUACCGUGAGGGAAAGGCGAAAAGAACCCCGGCGAGGGGAGUGAAAAAGAACCUGAAACCGUGUACGUACAAGCAGUGGGAGCACAGGUUUACCUGUGUGACUGCGUACCUUUUGUAUAAUGGGUCAGCGACUUAUAUUCUGUAGCAAGGUUAACCGUAUAGGGGAGCCGUAGGGAAACCGAGUCUUAACCGGGCGUUAAGUUGCAGGGUAUAGACCCGAAACCCGGUGAUCUAGCCAUGGGCAGGUUGAAGGUUGGGUAACACUAACUGGAGGACCGAACCGACUAAUGUUGAAAAAUUAGCGGAUGACCUGUGGCUGGGGGUGAAAGGCCAAUCAAACCGGGAGAUAGCUGGUUCUCCCCGAAAGCUAUUUAGGUAGCGCCUCGUGAAUUCAUCUCCGGGGGUAGAGCACUGUUUCGGCUAGGGGGCCAUCCCGGCUUACCAACCCGAUGCAAACUGCGAAUACCGGAGAAUGUUAUCACGGGAGACACACGGCGGGUGCUAACGUCCGUCGUGAAGAGGGAAACAACCCAGACCGCCAGCUAAGGUCCCAAAGUCAUGGUUAAGUGGGAAACGAUGUGGGAAGGCCCAGACAGCCAGGAUGUUGGCUUAGAAGCAGCCAUCAUUUAAAGAAAGCGUAAUAGCUCACUGGUCGAGUCGGCCUGCGCGGAAGAUGUAACGGGGCUAAACCAUGCACCGAAGCUGCGGCAGCGAACGUAUCACCCAAGACAACUUUACGGAGUUGACGAUUGACGGAGCGAAGCGACGUCAAAGCGUUCAUUAAAGUCGAGUUGGCUUAGGGAUACGUUCGUUGGGUAGGGGAGCGUUCUGUAAGCCUGUGAAGGUGUGUCGUGAGGCAUGCUGGAGGUAUCAGAAGUGCGAAUGCUGACAUAAGUAACGAUAAAGCGGGUGAAAAGCCCGCUCGCCGGAAGACCAAGGGUUCCUGUCCAACGUUAAUCGGGGCAGGGUGAGUCGACCCCUAAGGCGAGGCCGAAAGGCGUAGUCGAUGGGAAACGGGUUAAUAUUCCCGUACUUGGUGUUACUGCGAAGGGGGGACGGAGAAGGCUAUGUUGGCCGGGCGACGGUUGUCCCGGUUUAAGCGUGUAGGUGUGUGUUCCAGGUAAAUCCGGUUCACUUUAACACUGAGGCGUGACGACGAGGCACUACGGUGCUGAAGCAACAAAUGCCCUGCUUCCAGGAAAAGCCUCUAAGCAUCAGGUAACACGAAAUCGUACCCCAAACCGACACAGGUGGUCAGGUAGAGAAUACCAAGGCGCUUGAGAGAACUCGGGUGAAGGAACUAGGCAAAAUGGUGCCGUAACUUCGGGAGAAGGCACGCUGACACGUAGGUGAAGUGAUUUACUCAUGGAGCUGAAGUCAGUCGAAGAUACCAGCUGGCUGCAACUGUUUAUUAAAAACACAGCACUGUGCAAACACGAAAGUGGACGUAUACGGUGUGACGCCUGCCCGGUGCCGGAAGGUUAAUUGAUGGGGUCAGCGCAAGCGAAGCUCCUGAUCGAAGCCCCGGUAAACGGCGGCCGUAACUAUAACGGUCCUAAGGUAGCGAAAUUCCUUGUCGGGUAAGUUCCGACCUGCACGAAUGGCGUAAUGAUGGCCAGGCUGUCUCCACCCGAGACUCAGUGAAAUUGAACUCGCUGUGAAGAUGCAGUGUACCCGCGGCAAGACGGAAAGACCCCGUGAACCUUUACUAUAGCUUGACACUGAACAUUGAGCCUUGAUGUGUAGGAUAGGUGGGAGGCUUUGAAGUGUGGACGCCAGUCUGCAUGGAGCCGACCUUGAAAUACCACCCUUUAAUGUUUGAUGUUCUAACGUGGACCCGUAAUCCGGGUUGCGGACAGUGUCUGGUGGGUAGUUUGACUGGGGCGGUCUCCUCCUAAAGAGUAACGGAGGAGCACGAAGGUUGGCUAAUCCUGGUCGGACAUCAGGAGGUUAGUGCAAUGGCAUAAGCCAGCUUGACUGCGAGCGUGACGGCGCGAGCAGGUGCGAAAGCAGGUCAUAGUGAUCCGGUGGUUCUGAAUGGAAGGGCCAUCGCUCAACGGAUAAAAGGUACUCCGGGGAUAACAGGCUGAUACCGCCCAAGAGUUCAUAUCGACGGCGGUGUUUGGCACCUCGAUGUCGGCUCAUCACAUCCUGGGGCUGAAGUAGGUCCCAAGGGUAUGGCUGUUCGCCAUUUAAAGUGGUACGCGAGCUGGGUUUAGAACGUCGUGAGACAGUUCGGUCCCUAUCUGCCGUGGGCGCUGGAGAACUGAGGGGGGCUGCUCCUAGUACGAGAGGACCGGAGUGGACGCAUCACUGGUGUUCGGGUUGUCAUGCCAAUGGCACUGCCCGGUAGCUAAAUGCGGAAGAGAUAAGUGCUGAAAGCAUCUAAGCACGAAACUUGCCCCGAGAUGAGUUCUCCCUGAGACUUAGAGUCUCCUGAAGGAACGUUGAAGACGACGACGUUGAUAGGCCGGGUGUGUAAGCGCAGCGAUGCGUUGAGCUAACCGGUACUAAUGAACCGUGAGGCUUAACCUUACAACGCCGAAG